rnacentral:rRNA from 1 species
UGUGGCCUACGGGAGGCAGCAGUGAGGAAUAUUGGUCAAUGGCCGGAAGGCUGAACCAGCCACGCCGCGUGAAGGACGAAGGCGCCAAGCAUUGUAAACUUCUUUUGUCAAGGGACAAAAUCAGGCUCGAGAGCCUGACCGAGGGUACUUGAAGAAAAAGCAUCGGCUAACUCCGUGCCAGCAGCCGCGGUAAUACGGAGGAUGGGAGCGUUAUCCGGAUUUAUUGGGUUUAAAGGGCGCGUAGGCGGGCUGUUAAGUCAG